UACGAAGGGGGCUAGCGUUGUUCGGAUUUACUGGGCGUAAAGCGCACGUAGGCGGAUCGUUAAGUCGGGGGUGAAAUCCUGGAGCUCAACUCCAGAACUGCCUUCGAUACUGGCGAUCUAGAGUCCGGAAGAGGUGAGUGGAACUCCUAGUGUAGAGGUGGAAUUCGUAGAUAUUAGGAAGAACACCAGUGGCGAAGGCGGCUCACUGGUCCAUUACUGACGCUGAGGUGCGAAAGCGUGGGGAGCAAACAGG
rnacentral:rRNA from 1 species